rnacentral:rRNA from 1 species
GAUGAACGCCGGCGGCGUGCCUAAUACAUGCAAGUCGAGCGAACAGACGAGGAGCUUGCUCCUCUGACGUUAGCGGCGGACGGGUGAGUAACACGUGGAUAACCUACCUAUAAGACUGGGAUAACUUCGGGAAACCGGAGCUAAUACCGGAUAAUAUAUUGAACCGCAUGGUUCAAUAGUGAAAGACGGUUUUGCUGUCACUUAUAGAUGGAUCCGCGCCGCAUUAGCUAGUUGGUAAGGUAACGGCUUACCAAGGCAACGAUGCGUAGCCGACCUGAGAGGGUGAUCGGCCACACUGGAACUGAGACACGGUCCAGACUCCUAAGGGAGGCAGCAGUAGGGAAUCUUCCGCAAUGGGCGGAAGCCUGGCGGAGCAACGCCGCGUGAGUGAUGAAGGUCUUCGGAUCGUAAAACUCUGUUAUUAGGGAAGAACAAAUGUGUAAGUAACUAUGCACGUCUUGACGGUACCUAAUCAGAAAGCCACGGCUAACUACGUG